CCUACGGGUGGCAGCAGUGAGGAAUAUUGGUCAAUGGGCGGAAGCCUGAACCAGCCAAGUAGCGUGCAGGAUGACGGCCCUACGGUUUGUAAACUGCUUUUAUACGGGAAUAACGCGCCUUACGUGUAGGGCUUUGCAUGUACCGUAUGAAUAAGGACCGGCUAAUUCCGUGCCAGCAGCCGCGGUAAUACGGAAGUUCCGGGCGUUAGCCGGAUUUCUUUGGUUUAAAGGGAGCGUAGGCCGCAUGUCAAGUCAGCUGUGAAAUGUCCGGGCUAAACCCGGGCCUUGAAGCGCGAACUGGCGUGCGUGAGUCCGCGGAAAGCAGGCGGAAGUCGUCGUGUAGCGGUGAAAUGCUUAGAUAUGACGAAGAACCCCGAUUGCGAAGGCAGCUUGCUGCAGCGGAACUGACGCUGAUGCUCGAAAGCGCGGGUAUCGAACAGGAUUAGAUACCCUAGUAGUC
rnacentral:rRNA from 1 species